rnacentral:rRNA from 1 species
GAUGAACGCUAGCGGCAGGCUUAACACAUGCAAGUCGAGGGGUAUAGUUCUUCGGAGCUAGAGACCGGCGCACGGGUGCGUAACGCGUAUGCAAUCUACCUUUUGCAGAGAGAUAGCCCAGAGAAAUUUGGAUUAAUACCUCAUGGUAUGUGAGAAUGGCAUCAUUUUCACAUUAAAGUCACAACGGCAAAAGAUGAGCAUGCGUCCCAUUAGCUAGUUGGUAAGGUAACGGCUUACCAAGGCAACGAUGGGUAGGGGUCCUGAGAGGGAGAUCCCCCAAACUGGUACUGAGACACGGACCAGACUCCUACGGGAGGCAGCAGUGAGGAAUAUUGGACAAUGGGCGCAAGCCUGAUCCAGCCAUGCCGCGUGCAGGAUGACGGUCCUAUGGAUCGUAAACUGCUUUUGUACAGGAAGAAACACUGGUUCGUGAACCAGCUUGACGGUACUGUAAGAAUAAGGAUCGGCUAACUCCGUGCCAGCCGCCGCCGUAAAAC